GCCUAAUACAAAAAAAUCACACGGUUGCACCCAAUCUCAUCAGAUCUCGGAGGCUAAGCAGAGUUGAGCCUGGUUAGUACUUGGAUGGGAGACGACCUGUUAGGUCUAGGUAUUUUGGGCU
rnacentral:rRNA from 1 species